AAACAAGAACUGUCGUGCCAAAACACGUAUUCCAAUAUUCCAUAUCAUUUCAUGCUUCAACGACUUUGAAUAUUUGUGUGGAUAAUAAUCUUUGUAUAGUUAAAGCACUUCUCCUUCGAAGUUCUAGAGUGGGAAAUCGCCAGAAUGGCUGUAUGAGUGUUCUUGGCAGAUCAUAAACAUAACAUAUAGUCACUUGACUCACUUCUAGCCAGUUCCAGGUAAGCCUCAGGAUAAAAUGAUUAAGAACGGCGAAACUAAAUGUAGGAAAUACAGUUGGAUAGAUUGUAUUGUAUUGAACAAGAAAUGCACUAAAUUUUUGCUCUGUUCCUUUGUUUGUUCCUUUGUAUAUUUAGUAAGGUGCAGUGAAAAGUAUGUGAAAUUUAAAUCUAUAUAUCAACUAGUCUCCGUCAGUGGUCACCGUACGUUGGUGUUAUAUUUAAUCAAUGGACCAUCAUGUGACCUAUGGCUCUGGUAUUUGUAAUUACACUUCUUCCUGUUUUUUGUACUUCUAAUUUCUUUAUCAUUCAUUUACCUCAGAAGUAACUGCCAUGUUUGUAAUAAUAGAGCAUUUUGAAACAAAAGUGAAAGAUCCAUAAAUUGAAAAAUGAUAAUGUGCAUGGUAAGGGAUUUUAAUAAAGGAAGUAUUGUUUCCAUAGCAAUGGUAAAAUAAGCCAGGUCUAAACAAUAUUAAACAUUGUUCAUGGGUGAAGUGUACGAAAUGCAAUAUCCAUUGAUUUUACUGUAAUUUUCAAUCAAGGCUUGGU
rnacentral:lncRNA from 1 species